UUGCUUGCUUUCCUCAUCAAUCACAUACCACCUUACCUAGCUAGACGCUUUUCUCAAUUGACAUCUAGUGACCACUUCUCUCUUAUACUUUGCCGUCUUGGUCCCAUAUUCAAUGUUGACUCAAGCUGCUGCUCAAAA
ensembl:ncRNA T02E9.17 ncRNA